GUGUCAGCAGCCGCGGUAAUACAGAGGGUGCGAGCGUUAAUUGGAAUUACUGGGCGUAAAGCGCGCGUAGGCGGUUUGUUAAGUCGGAUGUGAAAUCCCAGGGCUCAACCUUGGAAUGGCACCCGAUACUGGCAGGCUAGAGUACGGUAGAGGGGUGUGGAAUUUCCUGUGUAGCGGUGAAAUGCGUAGAUAUAGGAAGGAACAUCAGUGGCGAAGGCGACACCCUGGACCGAUACUGACGCUGAGGUGCGAAAGCGUGGGGAGCAAACAG
rnacentral:rRNA from 1 species